UGGGGAAUAUUGGACAAUGGGCGCAAGCCUGAUCCAGCAAUGCCGCGUGAGUGAUGAAGGCCUUAGGGUUGUAAAGCUCUUUCGCACGCGACGAUGAUGACGGUAGCGUGAGAAGAAGCCCCGGCUAACUUCGUGCCAGCAGCCGCGGUAAUACGAAGGGGGCUAGCGUUGUUCGGAAUUACUGGGCGUAAAGGGCGCGUAGGCGGCCUGUUUAGUCAGAAGUGAAAGCCCCGGGCUCAACCUGGGAAUAGCUUUUGAUACUGGCAGGCUUGAGUUCCGGAGAGGAUGGUGGAAUUCCCAGUGUAGAGGUGAAAUUCGUAGAUAUUGGGAAGAACACCGGUGGCGAAGGCGGCCAUCUGGACGGACACUGACGCUGAGGCGCGAAAGCGUGGGGAGCAAACAGAUUAGAUACCCUGGUAGUCCAACGCCGUAAACGAUGAAUGCUAGACGUCGGGGUGCAUNCANUUCGGUGUCGCCGCUAACGCAUUAAGCAUUCCGCCU
rnacentral:rRNA from 1 species